UACGUAGGGUGCAAGCGUUGUCCGGAAUUAUUGGGCGUAAAGAGCUCGUAGGCGGUCUGUCGCGUCGAAAUGUGAAAACCCGGGGCUCAACCCCCGGGCCUGCAUUCGAUACGGGCAGACUAGAGUUCGGUAGGGGAGUCUGGAAUUCCUGGUGUAGCGGUGAAAUGCGCAGAUAUCAGGAGGAACACCGGUGGCGAAGGCGGGUCUCUGGGCCGAUAUUGACGCUGAGGAGCGAAAGCGUGGGGAGCGAACAGG
rnacentral:rRNA from 1 species